GACGAACGCUGGCGGCGUGCCUAAUACAUGCAAGUAGAACGCUGAAGAGAGGAGCUUGCUCUUCUUGGAUGAGUUGCGAACGGGUGAGUAACGCGUAGGUAACCUGCCUUGUAGCGGGGGAUAACUAUUGGAAACGAUAGCUAAUACCGCAUAACAAUGGAUGACACAUGUCAUUUAUUUGAAAGGGGCAAUUGCUCCACUACAAGAUGGACCUGCGUUGUAUUAGCUAGUAGGUGAGGUAAUGGCUCACCUAGGCGACGAUACAUAGCCGACCUGAGAGGGUGAUCGGCCACACUGGGACUGAGACACGGCCCAGACUCCUACGGGAGGCAGCAGUAGGGAAUCUUCGGCAAUGGGGGCAACCCUGACCGAGCAACGCCGCGUGAGUGAAGAAGGUUUUCGGAUCGUAAAGCUCUGUUGUAAGUCAAGAACGGGUGUGAGAGUGGAAAGUUCACACUGUGACGGUAGCUUACCAGAAAGGGACGGCUAACUACGUGCCAGCAGCCGCGGUAAUACGUAGGUCCCGAGCGUUGUCCGGAUUUAUUGGGCGUAAAGCGAGCGCAGGCGGUUUGAUAAGUCUGAAGUUAAAGGCUGUGGCUCAACCAUAGUUCGCUUUGGAAACUGUCAAACUUGAGUGCAGAAGGGGAGAGUGGAAUUCCAUGUGUAGCGGUGAAAUACGUAGAUAUAUGGAGGAACACCGGUGGCGAAAGCGGCUCUCUGGUCUGUAACUGACGCUGAGGCUCGAAAGCGUGGGGAGCGAACAGGAUUAGAUACCCUGGUAGUCCACGCCGUAAACGAUGAGUGCUAGGUGUUGGAUCCUUUCCGGGAUUCAGUGCCGCAGCUAACGCAUUAAGCACUCCGCCUGGGGAGUACGACCGCAAGGUUGAAACUCAAAGGAAUUGACGGGGGCCCGCACAAGCGGUGGAGCAUGUGGUUUAAUUCGAAGCAACGCGAAGAACCUUACCAGGUCUUGACAUCCCGAUGCUAUUUCUAGAGAUAGAAAGUUACUUCGGUACAUCGGUGACAGGUGGUGCAUGGUUGUCGUCAGCUCGUGUCGUGAGAUGUUGGGUUAAGUCCCGCAACGAGCGCAACCCCUAUUGUUAGUUGCCAUCAUUCAGUUGGGCACUCUAGCGAGACUGCCGGUAAUAAACCGGAGGAAGGUGGGGAUGACGUCAAAUCAUCAUGCCCCUUAUGACCUGGGCUACACACGUGCUACAAUGGUUGGUACAACGAGUUGCGAGUCGGUGACGGCGAGCUAAUCUCUUAAAGCCAAUCUCAGUUCGGAUUGUAGGCUGCAACUCGCCUACAUGAAGUCGGAAUCGCUAGUAAUCGCGGAUCAGCACGCCACGGUGAAUACGUUCCCGGGCCU
rnacentral:rRNA from 1 species